GGUCAAACCACGCACUUGAUUUCUCAAGUUGCCUGCUUGGCCCUCUUCCAAGGGUACUUUUCUUCCUUUCAUUCCUGCUUUAAAGCUUUUUUAAUACACUUUCACUCCUGCUCUAAAACUUGCCUCGGUCCUUGGUCUCUCACUCAUCCUUAUGCCCCGCAGUCGAACUCUUUCUUUUCCUUUUUUAAUUUUUUUUACACAGAUUCUCACUCUGUUGCCCAGACUGGAGUGCAGUGGCACGAUCUCGGCUCACUGCAACCUCUGCCUCCCGGGUUCAAGCAAUUCUCCUGCCUUGGCCUCCUGAGUAGCUGGGACUACAGGUGUGCUCCACCAUACAUGGCUAAUUUUUUGUAUUUUUAGUAGAGAUGGGGUUUCACCAUGUUGGCCAGGCUGGUCUCCAACGCCUGACCUCAGGGGAUCCACCUGCCUUGGCCUCCCACAAUGCCGGGAUUACAGGCAUGAGUCACCGAGCCCGGCCAGUCAAAACUUUCUUCUGAGGAGGCAAAGAUUGAGAUUGCUGCAGAACAUAGGGAUUUGCCGUCAGUAACAUACUGUGUGACUCAGGCAGGGCCAGCUCAGCACCCACCAGCACCGAGCUGCUACUGAGCCGUCCUCUCUCCCAGAAGGAAAAUGGAUUCAGCCGGUGGCUAACCAGCCUGGCACCUUCGUGACUCAGCCCCAUCUCCUCUGCCCAGAAGCAGCUUCAAGAAACUGUAAUAGGACCCGCGCCCCUGGUAAAGGAAUGGCCAGGCCUCAGGGGCUUGGUGCUGCCACCUGGGCAUCAGAUGGAGUCGGAGGCUGGUUAGGAGAAAGCAGAACCCUCUCCGGCUCGCAGGCCCAGCUUUUGCCCUAGAGUGUGAGGUGCCCACUGAGCACCGAUAGGUGUGGGGGGUCGCUCAGCAGCCACAGGGGCCCCUCAAGGACAGCGAGCACCAGCAGUGUAGGAAACACAGCGGCAGACGAGGGGCGGGGGAAUAAUGGAAGACACAAGUGAAGAGGGAGGAGGCCAGCGAGGAGAACGCACCCUCCAAGUUCCAGAGCAGAGCCCUGGGCGUGGGCUUGGCCUGGGGCUGCCAGUGACCCCCGGAGCAUCCGAACGGGGGUACCAGGGGUCCCGGUGCAACUAGGUCAACACCCCAAGCAGGCACGAGGGGCCGCCACGGGGGAUCUGCAGAGUGGACUUUUGUUUUGUUCCCCAGAACCACUCCGGCUUCUCUCUGCAGCAAGAGUGGGGGAGAUGGCAGCGUGGGACUCGUGGGUAAUCUCCUGCAGUGGCUUGUCACUCCUCCCCCACUGCCAGGUCUGGGUGGGGCUUCAUCCCAGCCCCAGGGGUGGGGCACAGGACUCAGGCCUAAGCCAAGCAGAGCCUUCCCUGGCUGCAGCAAUGGGUCCAAGGUGAGCAUGUGACCCUAGGCUUGUUCAAUCAGGGUGAACCUGGGCCUUUUAUGCUGGGCAUGUGGGACUAAGGCGUUGUAUCCUCCUCUGCCAUAUCUGAUGGAAGCACAGGGCCCAUCUAGCCAGCCCAAGGAGUCAGCCUGCCUGAGACUAGAGUCCUGUCGCACCCCAGAGCCCUGGGGCAGCUCAGCUGCUUUAUGCCCAAUUCUUCACCCUCCGUGUAUCCCCCUCCUUUGCAGGGCCCUCCCACUGUGACCCUGGCCUUGGCCACCAGGCUUGCUUUGGCCAAUGGGAUGUGAGCAUACAGGAUGCCAAAGCAUGAAAACUGCUUCCAAUAGCGCUUGUGCGCGCCUGGGCCUGUGUUAUAAGAAUGUGCCCUGCUUACCCAUUGGAAGGACUUGGGCCACCUGCAGGAAAACAGUCACAUGAACCACGGAGAACAGUCUAAGGACCAGAGGCGUGGAGUUUUCAUUAGAAGAUUCUGAGUUCAGCUAAUGCCUGGUUAUUUUUACAGAUGCCUGGUGUAGUAGAUUGAAUGGUGGCCCCUCUAAGACAGACCACUGAGAAUCUGUGACUGUGACCUUAUUUGGAACGACGGUCGUUGCAACUGUCGUGCGUGAGACACCUGCUCCUCCUUCGGCCUCCGUCCUGAUUGAAAGCUUCCUGAGGCCUCCCCGGAAGCCAAGCAGAUGCCAACACCAUGCUUCCUAGAAAGCCUACAGAACCAUGAGCCAAUUAAACUUUACAAAUUACCCAGCCUCAGUUAUUUCUUUAUAGCAACACAGACUCGGUGACAGCUGACAUCCUACCAGCCAUCACCAGCUCUGGGGGUGCUUGUCUUUCUUUUGGCUAUCUAUGGGGUAACUUUGGAUCUUGGGGUACCAACCAUCACCAGUUCUGGGGCGCUUGUCUAAGUCUGUCUUUCUUUUGGCUAUCUGUGGGGUAACUUUGGAUCCUGGGGGACUCUGAGAACUUCUCUUGUAUCCAUGGCCACAAAAAGGCUUAUUGGUUUCGAGUUACAUUGGAUUAGGUACACCUUUGGUCAAAAACAAAAAAACAAAACAAAAAACUAGGUGAAAAGGACUAUUUGGAAACAAACUGGGCAAAGAAAAAAAUCUUUAGGGCCUUCUCCUGAAAUAUUGAUAACAACUUUCACCCUCAACAGGUAAUCUUAACUUGUAUGAAACUAUGUAUGAAAGUUAUAAGAUCUUGGUUUAUGGCCAGGAUAGUGGCUCAUGCCUGUCGGUCAUCCCAGCACUUUGGGAGGCUGAGGUGGGGAGAUCACUUAAGCCCAGGAAUUUGAAACCGGCCUGGGCAACAUGGUGAGACCUUGUCUUUACAAAAAAAUAUUUAAAAAUUAGCUGGGGUAGUGCCUGCCUCAGCUACUUGGGAGGCUAAGGUGGGAGGAUUGCUUGAGCCCUGAGGUCAAGGAGAAGGAGACCUCGUCUUAAAAAAAAAUUUUUUUUUUUGUUUACAGAUCUAUAUGUUAUGUCUAUGCGUGUAUGUUAUGUAUACGUGAAAUUGUUCUCCCUCUGAUGGUAUUACCAAGUUAAUUUAUAAAAUCCCUUAAAUGAGUUCUAUUCAAAUUGGCUUAGAGAUACAUGAGCAUUUAUAGAAAAUAUUUCUAAAGCGCUCAGAAAUACAGAAACUAAGCUAAAUAUUCUUUUCAAGUUCAUGUGACUUGAGUAACUGACAAGAUUAGUCUGAUACUGUUAGUUUAUUUAAGAAAGCUAUAUAGGUUGGGCACGGUGGCUCACGCCUGUAAUCCCAGCACUUUGGGAGGCCACGGUGGGCAGAUCACCUGACGUCAGGAGCUCAAGACAGGCCUGGCCAACAUGGUGAAACCCCGUCUCUACAACAAUACAAAAAUUAGCCAGGCAAGAUGGCCGGUGCCUGUAAUCCCAGCUA